GAGGAUGUAGCUCAACUGGCAGAGCGAGGGAUUGUGGAUCCCUAUGUCGCGGGUUCGACCCCCGUCAUCCUCC
rfam:Hydrogenobaculum sp. Y04AAS1, complete genome.